rnacentral:lncRNA from 1 species
GCGGAUGCCGGGCUUCCGCGGGGCCGGCGCCGGUUGGCGUCCGUAGCUCCGCGCAGCCUCCCGGGUCCGCCCACGGAACCCGCCGCGCCGGCGCGACCCCCUCCCCCAGAGCCCUCGGGUGGCUUCUCCCGCGCCCUCCCGGGAUGCUCCUGCCGGCCGGGCCGACCUCCGCGUCCGCAUCUCUCUGGGGGGGGGCGAGGGGACGGGACCGAUGCUCUCCUGUCCAAGGGGCCAGGUCCUCCCAGGGCCCGCCAGAAGAGCCAUACCCAACCCCACCAUCUGUGGGCAAGGCCAGCAGACCCUCUGCCCACUCGCAGGCCAGGGCUCACGACCCGAGGGCCCCUUUGUGUGACUAAAUUUGGCAAGAAUAUGGAUCCGAGCCAGUCUUUCCACGUGUGCUCCCAGCUCCCAGCUGAGAAGGCCAAGGGUUCUCUUCCGGGAGAACCAGUUUGGCUAUUAAGGGAACCUCUCAGCACAGUGCAGAGCAAGAGAAAAAGCAAGAUUUCAGAGAGAAUAGCUGUUUACCAUCAAAGCGAACUGGGUUCCACACAGACAUGGUAUAUUAUACACAGAAACGAAGGUGAAAAUCCUAAGGUGGAGAAGAGACUGAAUAUGCCCACUGUGCCCAAGGCAGGGCUAGAGUUGAUUUGGGGUUUACUUGGCUUCAUGGAUUUGAAACCAUAGAUGCUCUUACACAUCUUUCCCGUUUGAUUGGAGUGAAGCAUGCCACUCCUAAAAAGAAACUACUCGUUCUUUCAUUUCCUUCAAAAAAAAAAAAAGAGAGAGAGAGAGAAGAAGAAGAAAUUUAAUUUGGAUUCGGCUAAUACCCUUAUAACAUCUAAAGCUGUCAAGCAAAAAGAAGAGUAGAUAAUUAGAAGAUGAUGGGAGCCAGCACAGAGCCGAGUGGAGGAAAAGACAGGCACAGGGAAUUUGCACCAGGGACACGAGCUAGAACUGUUUCUGCACCAGACUGAAGUUACCACUGUCCAAGUCUACACUGUAUGCUGGCAAAUAGUCCCACUUCUUGCUGCACGGGCCCCUGCAGCUCUGCCAUGUUAAGCCCUGGCCCUUUCUCCGCGACAGCAUCUCUUACUCUUCACCCGUGUGGUCAUGGAAGUCGUCCUCCCACCGUCUCCAGACCUGUCCAGAUGAGAAAAUGGAGACUUGGAGGAGUAAUUUGCCCAAGAUCAUGCUGUGGGGCAGGGAUCUGAAUCCAGACAGUCUGACUCCAAAACCCAACUUCGUAACCACCAAAAUGUCUCUCAUUUGUUGGGACAAACCUGGUUAUGGAACCAGGUUCUUUUGCCUGAUGUGCAGCAAACCAAAUGCUGAGAUGCUGAGGUUUACAGAAGAGAAAAGGUUUAUUCACAAGGCACCCAAGCGAGGCGAUGGGAGGACAAGUUUCAGAUCUGCUUCCUUGAAGCCCUCGAAGCCGUGUGUGGAUCAAACACGUUGCGAAGUGACAAGAGCCAGGAGUGCUGAGUUUCGAGGAGGACGUGAGUCCCUGCCAACCGACUUUGGAAUUGCUGUGAGUGAGACACAAGCUUUCACUGUGUGAAACCCUGUGACUUGGGGGUUCAUCUUUUACCACAGCAUUGUCUAGCCUGACCAGAUUCAUUUGCAUAAGAAAAUCUCCACUGCCUUCAGAAUAUAAAGUAUAUUUCUGUAAACGUUGCAGAAAGCUAGUAUCUUGAUAAGAUAUAGAAAUUCUUCCACUCUUUCCUCUUACUGCAGUUCUUUCACUCCUUCUCUACCUUAAUGGGUUGGAGUUUGUCAUCAAGUCAGUCAGUCAACCAGGAUGCAGAUGUGAGUUUCCUUGUGGAAACAGGUGCCAGCAAAUAUUGCGUACCCCACCCGGAAGUACUGUGCCAAGUUAAAUCUAACCGAGGUCUUUUAGGUCGUUUCUGCCCACAUGAACCCAGGGUCGCUGAGUAUUAUUCCUUCAGCCCCAUCCACGCGAAAAGCUUCUUGGGUGAAGACAUGGAAUGCAGUUCAGCCCCAGGAUAUAUUCCUGCAAGGAGGAGUGCCAUGUACGACAGAUCAGAGACGGUAGGUGACAUGAUUUUGCACUCACGCCUAUUCCCUGCCUGCUCCUGUCCCAUCCUGUUCUAAACACCAGCAUCGCCUUGAAAUUCCCUUAAGCAAACUGAGACGCCAUAAGAAUCUCUACUGGUAUUGAUCCCAAUGCUGCAUAGUUUCUCUCCUGAACACUUUUUACCCAUAUUUAUACACAGGUAUGCAUAUCGGUAUGCAUGUAUAUACAUAAAUGCUUCUUAUAAUGAGUUUCUUCAUCAUGAAAGAUGAAUUAAUCACUUCAUUGACCUUACUAUAUAAUUUGCUGCAACGUACAGGAUUUACCAGACAACACCUACCACCUUAUAACAUCAGGACUUGCCCUUUGAGUCUAUAUUAAAUGAAUGCUUUCUUUGCCUUUAAGCAGUCAUAAUAAAUCAUACUGCACAAUUAAAUAGCUAUCACUCUUUAAUUAAGGAGUCAUCUUCUCCACUUCACCUGAUCUUGCCCAGUUUCCAGCAUGACCUGGUGCUUAAAGCUCAAGGAGAAAGUAAUUCAUAUUAUAAAUGUAUAACAGGGAAGUUCCCUUGUGUCGCAGCAGGUUAAGGAUCCACUGUUGCCACAAUAGUGGCGCAGGUGGUUACUGCAGUGCAGUUUUGAUCCCUGGCCCACGAACUUUCAUGUGCCAUGGGUGCAGCCAAAAA